AAGAAGAUCAUUUAUCAAUUCGUGACAAUGUAAAGCUUGCAGACUCAGGAAAAGCGAGAGGAACGUCAAGGAAUCAACUUGAAGGAUAUCUCUCGCAUUGGAG